UUGACCUCGGAUCAGGUAGGAAUACCCGCUGAACUUAAGCAUAUCAAUCA
rnacentral:rRNA from 1 species